CCCACGUCGGCUUGCUAAGGGAACCAGAUGGCAGGGCGGACGUCUCGGGGCCUGCCGGGAAAUGUAGUCCGCAGGGAGUGCGGGCGCGUGCCUGCGCCCUGCGCAGCUGCCGCGGGGAGCCUGAGAGAGCUUUGUGCAAAGAUGGGGAGUCCCUAAGUGGCCACAGGGCGUGGUCGUCCCGCGGGCGGUGGGAAGGGGCUGGCCGGUCCCGCUGGGGCUUCACCUACUGGCCGCCGCCAGACCUGACCCGGAAGUGAGUCCAUCAGCUUCUCAUAACUACCAAAAAGAUUAGGAUGUGCUGCUUUAUGGUUUCAGCAGAACGUAAGCAAGUUAAGGGAGGCCUCAGAAAGACUCCAUAGAGACGCCCAAGGGAGCCUGGGUCAACAAGAAGAGGCCUGGGGUAGGGAAGCGGAUGGCCCAAGAUGGACAGCUCUCCUUAUUGGGAGCCACAACAGCAACCACAGACACCAGAAUCAGAUGCUGGUAUGUGCUCACAGCCAGCCAGGACCAGUAAUCCAAUGGCCAACAUUCAAACACCAAGGAAGACAAGAAAGCAAAGGGAAUGAGUCUGUCCUUUGGCCACAAUCAUCUUGUUUCCAGCUGCCAUGGGAGACCAGGAGAGGAGGUUCCUGGCACACUCUGCACUCUCAGGAGCCCCUCACACAGGAUGUCAGACGUUGCUGCUUGGGCCCCUCUUGACUGGAUGGCAAGAACAGAGAUGCUGACAUCCGCAGCCCAAGAUCCUUCUGAGAUCCUAGGGAGAGAUAGGUGCCCACGUGCCCAGCAACGUUCCUGAAGCGAGAGCUCGGUGGUCUGAGAGGGAACAAGGCAGAUAAAGCGACCUCUGAGGACUACCCUGGAAACAGGAGUGGUACUCCUUCGUGAAGCCGUCUGUGGCGUCAGCGAGUCAUGGAGAAAGAAAAACCUGAAGUGAAACCCAGCACACCCGCACCCAGCAACGAGAAGACAACUAGACCCUCAAUACGCCCCAGGCCUCCCAAAAUAUCCUGUGCUUUUUACUGAAUAGGCAGCUGGGGAGGCACAGAAGUGACGUGAACCUGUCCAUGUGGGUGUGGAAGCUGGACUGAGCCACGCCCCGGUGCAGGUGGCCCCUUCCAAACAGCCAUGGGUCUUGCCUGCUCACCCCCACCCCCACCCCCACCUCUUGAAAAUGCGAAAGAAAAAUUGAUUUAAAAUAACAAACACCUCUCUCAUGUCAGCUCUUGAAAUAAAAGCUGCGUUUUCCUC